rnacentral:lncRNA from 1 species
CUGUUGUUCUCUGUCCGCCAUGCACUUCUUCGAUCUUCCCACAAAUGUGGCCACUACUGCUUAGCAACCAGGGGAACAUGACAGCAGACAGCAAAAUCCUCUCCCCAUAGCUCACCCUGUUCCAUCUCCACAUCAUAAAGUAUCUUUCAUAGCCAAUUAAGAGGAAUGCAUGUUGUGUGGCCACAGAGAGACUGAGUGGGACCUCAGGGGUGGCAUGGGCUGAGCUGGGGUCUCUGCUAGGUGCAUGCAUGGAGAGCAAAUUCAACAAACUGAUGACUGAAAGACCCCGAUAUAUGUGGGUAUAACAGCUCCCCAAAGGCUUAUGGCAACUAAUAUUUGAAAAGAACAGGGAAAAGGAGGAGAAAAAAGGGAGAGAAGUGAAGGAAGAGAAAGAAAGAAGAAAAGAAAGAGCUGAAUAUCAAGGCGAUGGGGAACAGAAGAGCUUUAUGCCGCGGCAUAAAGCCCUCAGCACUCCAGCCGCCCAAACCGCCAAGACCGGAGGGGAGGGCCAAGAGCUCGCGAGCAGCACCAAGAGAGCAAAGUCCAGACGAAACCCCGCUAAGCAGCCGGGAAAGCAGCUACUCACUCACUUCUCCCAUGCCACAGCAGUCCUUGUUAAUGCCAGUCAUGAAAUACUGCUGUCUAAGGAGCUGCUUCACUGGUGCCUCUGCAGUAAGCCAAGAUCAGCAUCAUUCCCAAUGCUUACAAACAGUCAUCUCAGAGACUGCAGCAAGCCUUGCGCAAAGUCAGCUGCUCUACAGAGCCAAAGAAGUCCCUGCUACAGAACCUUCCUCAUCCCCUGAGCAACGGGAUUGAAACAUUGUCCUCGAGAGCUAAGGGUGAGAAGCACAGUCGAAAACUGAGCAGACAGAAGAAAGCAGUCAAGUUCAGUCCUUGAUGCAGAGGAAAAGAGAUUCAUUUCUACAUGGCACUCAAUAGCAU